AUACGAAGGUCCCAAGCGUUAUUCGGAAUCACUGGGCGUAAAGAGUACGUAGGCGGUUUGGUAAGUCAGGUGUGAAAUCCCGGAGCUCAACUCCGGAACUGCAUCCGAUACUGCCAGACUUGAGUAAUGGAGAGGCAGGUGGAAUUCUCGGUGUAGCAGUGAAAUGCGUGGAUAUCGAGAGGAAGACCAAUGGCGAAGGCAGCCUGCUGGACAUUUACUGACGCUGAGAUACGAAGGCUAGGGGAGCGAAAGGGAUUAGAAACCCGGGUAGUCC
rnacentral:rRNA from 1 species